CCUACGGGAGGCAGCAGUGGGGAAUAUUGCACAAUGGGCGGAAGCCUGAUGCAGCGACGCCGCGUGAGGGAUGAAGGCCUUCGGGUUGUAAACCUCUUUCAGCAGGGACGAAGCGUGAGUGACGGUACCUGCAGAAGAAGCACCGGCUAACUACGUGCCAGCAGCCGCGGUAAUACGUAGGGUGCGAGCGUUGUCCGGAAUUACUGGGCGUAAAGAGUUCGUAGGCGGUUUGUCGCGUCGUUUGUGAAAACCCCGGGGCUCAACUUCGGGCUUGCAGGCGAUACGGGCAGACUUGAGUGUUUCAGGGGAGACUGGAAUUCCUGGUGUAGCGGUGAAAUGCGCAGAUAUCAGGAGGAACACCGGUGGCGAAGGCGGGUCUCUGGGAACAACUGACGCUGAGGAACGAAAGCGUGGGUAGCAAACAGGAUUAGAUACCCUGGUAGUCCACGCCGUAAACGGUGGGCGCUAGGUGUGGGUUCCUUCCACGGGAUCUGUGCCGUAGCUAACGCAUUAAGCGCCCCGCCUGGGGAGGUACGGCCGCGAGCGUAAACGUAAAGUAAGUAGACGGCGNGNGAGUGCCGAGGCGACGACGAGGGAGGAGG
rnacentral:rRNA from 1 species